CACAAAGAGUUGGACAUAACUGAGCAACUGAACACAAAAGUUCUUGCUCAUGUCUGUUUCCCCACUUUACAAUGAGUCUAGGAAUGCAAGGAUUAUAUUUUUCUUAAUCUCCAUGUCCAAUCACCUUACUCUGUCCAGGAACCAGCUAAAUGUGCGCUCUUUUAUAGGACAGUCAUGAUUGGCCAGUUCUGUCCGAAGUUUGGGAAGCUGAGAUGGACAAUGUUUGAUCAUCAAUCAUGUAGCCGAUACCUGCCUUUACCAGUUGACAUAUGCUGGGAAGUGGAGAAUGCCUGUUGAUAAACCAACUCUUCCUCUGGGAGAUGCAUAAAGAAAAGUUGAAAUGGAUGGUCUUCACAAUAUUAAAUGGUUAUCUGUGGAUGGUAAGAUUCUAGAAAAGAUUUACUCCUUUGUUUUCAUUGAGAAUAUCUCUUUUUUUAAAAGAGAAGUAAUGAAGAAACUUACACAUAUGUGUGCACACACACGUGUAAUACAAGUCACAAAAGGGGACUUGGACUGUACCUGAGGUGGUCAUCAAAGCGCACGGUAGCGGCACAGUGGAAGAUGAUGUUUGUGUGUGAAAGAAGCUCCUGCACGUCCUCCUUG